CCUACGGGAGGCAGCAGUGGGGGAUAUUGCACAAUGGGGGGAACCCUGAUGCAGCGACGCCGCGUGGGUGAAGAAGCGCCUCGGCGCGUAAAGCCCUGUCAGCAGGGAAGAAAAUGACGGUACCUGAAGAAGAAGCCCCGGCUAACUACGUGCCAGCAGCCGCGGGAAUACGUAGGGGGCAAGCGUUAUCCGGAUUUACGGGGUGUAAAGGGGGCGCAGACGGCGAUGCAAGCCAGGAGUGAAAGCCCGGGGCCCAACCCCGGGACUGCACUUGGAACUGCGUGGCUGGAGUGCAGGAGGGGCAGGCGGAAUUCCUGGUGUAGCGGUGAAAUGCGUAGAUAUCAGGAGGAACACCGGUGGCGAAGGCGGCCUGCUGGACUGCAACUGACGUUGAGGCCCGAAAGCGUGGGGAGCAAACAGGAUUAGAUACCCGGGUAGUC
rnacentral:rRNA from 1 species